UACAGAGGUUGCAAGCGUUAAUCGGAUUUACUGGGCGUAAAGCGUGUGUAGGUGGCCGCGUAAGUCGGUUGUGAAAUCCCUGGGCUUAACCUGGGAAUUGCAGCCGAUACUGCGUGGCUCGAGUUCGGUAGAGGGCAGCAGAAUUCCCGGUGUAGCGGUGAAAUGCGUAGAUAUCGGGAGGAAUACCGAUGGCGAAGGCAACUGCCUGGGCCUGAACUGACACUGUGACACGAAAGCGAUGGGUAGCA
rnacentral:rRNA from 1 species